GAUGAAGAACGCAGCGUAAUGCGAUAAGUAAUGUGAAUUGCAGAAUUCAGUGAAUCAUCGAAUCUUUGAACGCACCUUGCGCCCUUUGGCUAUUCCGAAGGGCAUGCCUGUUUGAGUAUCAUGAACACCUCAACUCUCAUGGCUUGCCAUGAUGAGCUUGGACUUUUGGGGGUCUUGCUGGCCUGUGGUCAGCUCCUCUCAAAUGAAUUAGCCUGCCAGUGUUUGGUGGCAUCACAGGUGUGAUAACUAUCUACGCUUGUGGUUUUCCACCAGGUAACCUUCAGUGAUGAAGGUUCGCUGGGGCUCAUAAACGUCUCUCCUCAGUGAGGACAGCUCUUUGAACGUUUGAUCUCAAAUCAGGUAGGACUACCCGCUGAACUUAAGCAUAUCAAUAAGCGGAGGA
rnacentral:misc_RNA from 1 species